rnacentral:rRNA from 1 species
ACGAACGCUGGCGGCGUGCCUAAUACAUGCAAGUCGAACGGUCUUUCUAUGGAAGCUUGCUUCCACUGAGAAGAUAGUGGCGAACGGGUGAGUAACACGUGGGUAACCUGCCCAUAAGAGGGGGAUAACAUCCGGAAACGGGUGCUAAUACCGCAUAGUUUUCUUGAUCGCAUGAUUGAGAAAGGAAAGACGGCCUUUGUGCUGUCGCUUAUGGAUGGACCCGCGGCGUAUUAGUUAGUUGGUGAGGUAACGGCUCACCAAGACGAUGAUACGUAGCCGACCUGAGAGGGUGAUCGGCCACAUUGGGACUGAGACACGGCCCAAACUCCUACGGGAGGCAGCAGUAGGGAAUCUUCCGCAAUGGACGAAAGUCUGACGGAGCAACGCCGCGUGAGUGAAGAAAGGGUUUUCGGAUCGUAAAACUCUGUUGUCAGAGAAGAACAAGUUGGAGAGUAACUGCUCCAGCCUUGACGGUAUCUGACCAGAAAGCCACGGCUAACUACGUGCCAGCCGCCGC